rfam:Schistosoma haematobium scaffold895_6, whole genome shotgun sequence.
AUCCAGCCGAAGAGUCCCAAAUGGGACGAAACGCGUGUCCUGGAU